rnacentral:lncRNA from 1 species
GACUUAAUGCAUAUGAAUGUAUAUGGCAUGUACGACUUGAAACUCAACAACAUACGAAUAACAGCAACACAACAGCUUUUUCAACAAAACAACUCAUAAUCAACUUUGGCUCAUCAGCCUACAACUCAGUAUUUUCAACAAAACAACUUAUAUUCAGCUUUGGCUCAUCAGCCUACAACUCAGGAUUUUCAACAAAACAACUUAUCAACAUUUUUGCAUCAACAUUUCACAACAUAAACCCAACAAAUUGAUUCAUCACAAUUAACU